AGCGAUUCUGCCCUGCUCACCACGAAGGUUCGAGACAAGGAGAGAGGAACUGGAGAGCAGAAGAAAGAAAAGAGAGAAGGAGGGAAAGACAGAAGGAAAUCAUGGGGAGGAAAACAUGAUUUACACAGAAUUCAAUCAAGAAUCAAACCUGGUGAGGAGGUUAGAGCCAGCACUCCAUAAUACGAGAAGGCACCAGCUUCAAACUUCAUCCCCUCCUUUCCAGCCUCAACCUCCACCUUCCCCUGUGGGCCAACAGAGAUACAGAAAGGUUCUUACUGAUUGGCUGAAAUGAUGUUUGUGAUGUUGCCUAGAAUUCGUCAAAAUAAACCCCCGAUAUACUUCAAACGAAAUCGAAGAUCGAACUGGUGUUAACAAAAUCAGGACAAAACGAAGGUCAUGCUACCAUAAGUAAAAACACGAAUACACCAGAGAGCCCCAAAGCGCUUUUCUGAAGCUAGCGUAUUUUUCCAAUUGUUUUCAAUGGGAGCACCGGAUUUUUAAAACGCCAGGAGCGUAAAGAGGCACUGAGCGUCUAUUUCACGCUGAAGCGUUCAGCGUUUUUUACCGGUCGCUGAGUGUUGAAGAAUGUUCAACUUUGGGUAAAACGCAGCGCUCUUCACUGUCACUUUGUACCCAGCCAUCCAAUCACACUGAAGGAGGGGCGGGACAAAUACAACACCGACCAACCGCCACAUUCUGCUUGUACAACGUCAACAGAUGACAACAACUAGCAUAAAAAAGGAACAAAAUAAUUUAAAACAAGAGCCAGAGAAAAUCCUUUACAUCGUAUCGACAUUUUUAUAUAGAAACAGUGCAUAAACAAACUAUAUGUGAAAUGAGAUACUAGUAACACUCCCGUGGAUAUUCAAAGCGAACAGUGAGAGUCUCAACUGAAAAAAAAAAAAAACGCUGUGCUACCGAAGCACUCUCAAGUGCCCACAGCUAGGCGUUUUCAGCUGGCUAAAAAACGCUUUGGUGGACACACGGCCUUAUAGUAGAAAAUGAAGUUGUAAUUCUAAGAGAAAGAGACACUGACACUGUUUUUUUUUUUUUCAUGUUUAAUACUGUAAAGCUGCUUGCUUUUAAACAAUCUAUUGUAUAAAGUGCUAUAUAAAUAGACGUGACGUGACUUUACUGGAUUGCUGAAUUGCAGAGCUCAUGCAAACACAUCCACGUUGCUAUCAGAUGCUUUCUUAACUGUUGUUUUCUCACCACUGAGAUUUAUGUUGUGUUUGUUUUUGAAAGCAAAGCACACAGCACAUAUUUACAUAUUCAUCUAAACGCCGCUCUCAGCAGUGUGGGCAGUGUCAGGAUGUUCACUACAGUAUACCGCUUGUCACGUAUUUCAAACUCGAAAAAGAACUUUGCUAUGAGUAUAUCAGGACCUUUAGAAGGCCAUCAACCCUUUGCAAACCUUUGGUAGGCAGCUCACUAGGUUCAGAGCUUCAAAGGUUGUAAUCCUGUAAAGGCCAUGACAUUGUUCAUAGCUCAAGGUCUGCAAAGGUUGUGACCUUUCGCUCAAUCAGAACUCAUAACAUUGAGAUACAGCUGAGAAUGU